CCGGCGCACGGGUAAGUAACACGUAUCCAACCUGCCGUCUACUCUUGGCCAGCCUUCUGAAAGGAAGAUUAAUCCAGGAUGGCAUCAUGAGUUCACAUGUCCGCAUGAUUAAAGGUAUUUUCCGGUAGACGAUGGGGAUGCGUUCCAUUAGAUAGUAGGCGGGGUAACGGCCCACCUAGUCAACUAUGGAUAGGGGUUCUGAGAGGAAGGUCCCCCACAUUGGAACUGAGACACGGUCCAA
rnacentral:rRNA from 1 species